CACGUAGGGCGCAAGCGUUGUCCGGAAUUAUUGGGCGUAAAGAGCUCGUAGGCGGUCUGUUACGUCCGCUGUGAAAACCUAGGGCUUAACCCUGGGCUUGCAGUGGAUACGGGCAGACUAGAGGUAGGUAGGGGAGAAUGGAAUUCCCGGUGUAGCGGUGAAAUGCGCAGAUAUCGGGAGGAACACCGGUGGCGAAGGCGGUUCUCUGGGCCUUACCUGACGCUGAGGAGCGAAAGCGUGGGGAGCGAACAGG
rnacentral:rRNA from 1 species